GCGCUAGUUCAGUAGUCAGGGAGCUAGUACAGCAGUUUGGGCGCUAGUUCAGUAGUCAGGGAGCUAGUUCAG